AAGAAAAUUCAUUCAGGCUUUUAAAAUGUAUUUGAAUAAAGUGUUUGUUUAUACUGUAAAUCGUGUUUUUCUUCUACAAGUGUCAUGUGGGUUCUGUCUUGUUUUUAAGGGGUGGCCUAUGCCUAUGGAUAAUCUGAAAUGGGGCUGGGAAUGGUUAUGUUGUGGAGCAAACUGUACAAUGCCAGCAGGGGUCCGUGCUUUCCGCUGCUCUGCUCUUUUCUCCGCUUGUUAACAGACACUCCGCUAUUGCCGUGCAAGGACCAAUUAAUCGGACAAGGCUGCAGACUUUCAGCGAGAUUGAGUGGCCAACCCAGAUUGGUGGAGCCCCAAUUGAACUGGAUAUAAGAAGACUGACAGCGGAGAGAUGGGGAGGGCCCCUACACAGGAUUAUACGACCAGCCAAGGCGACGGGUUGGGGAUCCACAGUCGCUUUUCCUCCGCAAUACUGGGCUGCUGCUGUUACGGGGUCUACGCUGUCUACUACGUUCGAGCCCGAGAGAAGGGGAGCGGAGACAUCGGACGAGCGAGAUUAUUCUGCGCUAUCAAAUACUAUAGAGGGACGGUGACUCCAACAUCCAUUGCUGCGUAAACGGAUGGCGGUGGUUGUGGACCCUUGAGGAUUCAGUUUUUUUUUUUCCAUUGGCAGGUUCCAAGCGGUACGGAUUCCACCGCCUGGACUUCUCGGAGAGACUCAGAGGAGUGACGUCACCCUAGCGGGGGAAACCACCGCAAAGGAACAGCUUGGCCACUCGAGGACUAUUCCACUGUCAAGAAUUCCCGCCUUCAGUACCAGUACCAACGUCAGAGCGUCUUUGUCUGAUAACUUCUGCAGCAGUCAGUCGCAUGAUGAUCGGAUUUCAGACACCAUCAGUUUAACACGAAAAAACAGAAACAAUGGCGUGUUCAGAAAGAACUAAAAAGAGGAAAAUAUCAGCGAAAGUGGAGGAACAUUUGCGUCUUGUUGAAAAUGAGUUGAUGAUGGAUGAUUUGUUGGCAAAAGACUCUGAAAUCGAUGAGGAUCGCUCUGAAAGGGAAUACCCACAAGAUGAUUUGUUAAAGGACUCUGAAAGAGAAGAUUCCAUGGAUACUUUCUACGAUGCUUGUGAUCAGAACUGUUUCGAGAAGUCAUCAAAUGAUUUUGAAGAGAAUUCCUCUGUCUUUUAUGAUUGCAACAUUUCCUCAUUUGAUGAUUUGGAUUCUGAAAACUGGGUGCCUGCUGGUGAUAGUGACUGUGAUUCGCAUGGAGAUGCAUGUUCUGACUUGGAAGAGGAUAAUGAUGAUGAUGAAUGUGGGCUUGCAGAAUGGGCUUCAGAAUUCAACAUACCACAAACAGCGCUGUCUGCACUUCUUAAAAUCCUAAGGAGGAAGGGCCUUGAUAUCCCAAUGGAUGCCAGAACUCUUAUGUCUACUGACAGAUCUUGCGAUGUUUCGGCUGUGGAUGGAGGGUCCUACUACCACUUUGGAAUCGAAAAUGCUCUCAUAGCUGAACUAACAUCUCUUGGACAUUUAGCAAAUAUUACAGAUACUCUCACACUUCGAAUUAAUAUAGAUGGAUUGCCCUUAUUUCGUAGCUCCAGUAUGAGUCUGUGGCCUAUUCUGGGAAAGAUUAAGGAAAUUCCAGAGUGUAGUGUGUUUGUAAUUGGAGUGUACUCCGGUGCGUCCAAACCCAAAAAUGUCCAAGAGUAUUUGCAAGAAUUCAUUGUAGAUAUGAAAGCCGUUUCUCAGAGAGGUAUUGUGUACAAUGGUGUACAUUUCAGUGUACCAUUACCCGAUGCUUUUAUUUGUGAUGCACCUGCGCGGGCCUUUCUUAAAUGCUCCAAAGGCCACACUGGGUAUUACGGGUGUGAGAGGUGCACUCAAAAAGGCCAGUACAUUAAUGGGAAGGUGGUUUAUCCUGAAAUAUCAGCAGAGCUCAGGACAGAUGAGCAAUUUGAAAGGCAAGGCUAUCAACAGCACCAACUGUCAGCCUCCCCCCUAAAUGAUCUGGGUAUAGGAUUAGUUACCAGUUUUGUUUUAGAUUAUAUGCACCUUGUGUGCUUGGGCGCAAUGCGCAAGUUAAUAUUUCUUUGGUUGAAGGGGCCGCAGAAAUCCAGGCAAGCUAUGCAUUUUUUUGUUGUAAUGUCUGUAUAUAUGGUGUCUAUCAGGAAAUAUAUACCUAGCAAUUUUGCAAGGAAACCACGAUCCAUGUUUGAAUUUGGUAAAUGGAAAGCUACAGAGCUUCGGCAAUUUUUACUUUACACUGGCCCUGUUGUUCUCCUCAAUAAUAUUCCCAGUAGAAUGUACAGAAACUUUUUACUUCUAUCUGUGUCUAUGAGAAUUCUUCUGAGUCCUGCCUUAUGUUCUCCUGACAAUUUAGACUAUGCUGAGGAGAUUUUGAAACUCUUCGUAACAGAUUUUGCUGCAAUUUAUGGCAAUGAUUUUGUCAGCUAUAACAUGCAGUCAUUGAUCCACUUAGCUCAAGAUGCACGGAAAUUCGGCCCGUUAGAUAGUAUUUCAGCAUUUCCCUUCGAGACAUUUUUAGUUAAACUUAAAAAACUUGUCCGUCGGCCUCAAAACCCUGUCCAACAACUAGUCAGGCGGCUCCAUGAGAAACAGAAAGUGGCAAGCCAAAAGAGCACAUCAGUUUGCAGCCCACUUAAACAGCUCCACUUUUCUGGACCUAUGAUUAAUUCAACUGCAACAUGGGAUCAAUACAGGCGUUACAAUGAUGGACAGACAAUGAUCUCCUCCUCUCGUGGCGAUAACUGUUUUUCUGUGGGGGGAAGGGUUCUUAUUGUGCGGAACAUUUUGUCACAUUCUGGAACUGUUGAAGUCCUGUGUAAUUUCUUUGAAACUGACAAAAACUUUUUCAACUAUCCAAUGGACUCCUCACGUCUUGGAAUUCUUUUUGUUUUCAAUUUAUCUGAACACUUGCAGUUGGUACCUGUUGAGGAGUUAAAAACAAAAAUGCCAUUCAAGACUGGAUACGUGGCAUUGCCACUCCUGCACUAGUGUGCUAUUUAUUUAUUUUUUAUUGUUCGUUUUGAUUUACCGAUUUGUUUUUGUAUUCACAUUUGCGAGAAAAAGUAUGUGAACCCUUUGGGAUUACUUGGAUUUCUGCAUUUUCACUUUCUCGCAACUGUAUGUAUUUUAUGUAUUUUUUUUUCUUUAAGCAUGUUGCCUUUCGCCAUAGUGGCAUUUGAAAAUAAUGGCGGAUUGGCAGUUAUUCCAACGAAAUGGUUUACCGGGGGUGAGGAGGACGAAUGUUACUGGCCACCAGCCAAGAUCAACAUGGCAAAGGCGGUCGCAGAACAACUGGAGCCGCACACUGAUUGGGCAACAUUCAAGUUGACGGUCAAGAGAAAAGCCGCAACGUAUGGAGUUGCCCGCUCAAAAUUGGUUGAGUACGAGGAAAAUACAGAUGUCCUGACCGAGUCUGAUUCCGAGAACUUGGGAAAAGGACAGCGCAAAAGGAGGAAAGUCGUUUUUACAAGUGAGGAUGAGGAUGAUGACAGCCCCAUCGGACCUACCGCUCCAUCCAGCCUCAGGUCACCACCUACCGCUACAUCCAGCCUCAGGUCACCACCUACCGCUCCAUCCUACGCUACAUCCAGCCUCGGGUCACCACCUACCGCUCCAUCCUACGCUACAUCCAGCCUCAGGUCACCACCUACCGCUCCAUCCUUCGCUACAUCCAGCCUCAGGUCACCACCUACCGCUCCAUCCUUCACUACAUCCAGCCUCAGGUCACCACCUACCGCUACAUCCAGCCUCGGGUCACCACCUACCGCUCCAUCCAGUCUCAGGUCACCACCUACCGCUCCAUCCUACGCUACAUCCAGCUUAAGGUCACCGCCUACCGCUCCAUCUCCAGUAAGAGACUCCAUGUUUGUGCACAUCUUAACCCUCCUUGAGGAGGUGAAAGAAACACAAAAGAUUCACGGGAGGAUGCUGCAAACGCUGUUACAACAGCGUGGAACCACCGUCUCCACCGUCUCGUCUAGUUUAAGGCCUUGAAGUUGUUUGAAGUGAUAUAUGGAGGCAUGAAGAAAAACCAGAUGACCAGCAAUAUUACCCGUAAAGAUGCAGAGAAGGCCAUCUCAUCUCAUCAUGGUUCAUUGGUUCUAGGGACCGGGGGGGUAAUCGACAGGUCCGACAGGCCACCCCUCAACAAAGACUUCAGACAUUUGAGGAACCAUAAUAUGAUGAAUACAAGUCCACUCACACUAGUGCGACAGGUUGCUAAUGAGCAGAUGCUGUCUCUUUGACAGCGCUGUUUUAUUUCCUAGCAGAUUUUGUAGAAAAUAAUUAUAAUAUCCAUAAGUAAGUUUCAUUUAGUGCAUAAUAGCUGUUUUUUUUUUUUUUUAUUAUUAUUUUUUCGCUUAUAUAUGUCCAUAUUUCUAUUUCUAUAUUGGCAAGUUUUCGAUCAUUCUUUGUGUGGUACCGAAUUUAUGUUUGUGCUACUGAUUUUUUUUUGCAUUCUAACACAAAUAAAAAUGUAAUUAAUUGUAUUACUGGUCUCUUUGUUAUUGUAACUUAAAUAAAUCACCAUAGGGUACGUACUAUCAGGGACCCAUAAUCAGCCCACAUGGGGCCCAGCUAGUGGGUCCUAGAUGGGAGUAACCUGGGUUGCCCAUGUGGGAUUUAGCUAGGGCCCACCCGAAGCCCACCUUCAGCCCAUAUGGGCUUGCCCACAUGGGGCCCCUAUGGAACCCCAUGACAAAACUGACUGGGCCCCAUGUGGGCAGCCCAUAUGGGGCCCACUCACUAGCCCAUAUACAACCCACAUGGGCCCCACAUGGGUGUGUUGACAGGGCUGUGUGGCUAUAUGGUUCCUUUGGAUUUGUGUGCGGGAUUGACCGGUGAACCGUUGCGGUGUGCUGUUUGCUGUGUACCCCCUUGCCGUGUGGUGUUUCACCCUAGUUUAAAUACCCUAGCUCUACCGGGUGCCCUUCAUUAGACCUGUUCCAGGGGUAGUUUUAUGAAUUUAAAAUAAGUGUAUUUUCUUUAAACAAAACCCUCCUGUCUCUGCUGUGGUGUGUCCUGGGAUUAGUUGCCUAGCGGGAUUGCUUGCCCAUUCGGUGACACAAGCAUACACAUAAUGAGUUACAAUAAUAAAGAAAAAACAAUAAUAAAAAUCAAUAAAGUUGAUUUUUUUUAAAUAAAGAAGUUAAAUUACCUCGUUGAGUUUAAGAGAACACAUUCAGUUUAGUUUUGCACUAUAGACUAAUAUGCAUUUUAUACUUUGUAUACAAAAAAUAUCCAUUAAAU